GUCUGACUGUUAUCACCGCAUUUUAGUGACUACAUCUGAGAGGACCUGUUACUUUGAGUUCUUAGGGUGUGCAGCUGAAAGAGCAAAAUUCUACUGAUUUUAAGCAGAAUUAUUUUUUAAAUGAACAAGGGAGGAAAAUCAGCCCAUCCCCUACUUUCUAGAGUCAGCCUCUCCUAAAUUGUGUUCAUGAUCCACACGUGAGAUUAUUUGGGGGAGUUCAUGAAGGAGUGUCAUGGGAGAAUUUGUAUUGAGUUUAUGUGCAUCAAC
rnacentral:lncRNA from 1 species